AACGAACGCUGGCGGCAGGCUUAACACAUGCAAGUCGAACGCCCCGCCAGGGGAGUGGCAGACGGGUGAGUAACGCGUGGGAACAUACCCUUUUCUACGGAAUAGCUCUGGGAAACUGGAAUUAAUACCGUAUACGCCCUACGGGGGAAAGAUUUAUCGGGGAAGGAUUGGCCCGCGUUGGAUUAGCUAGUUGGUGGGGUAAAGGCCUACCAAGGCGACGAUCCAUAGCUGGUCUGAGAGGAUGAUCAGCCACAUUGGGACUGAGACACGGCCCAAACUCCUACGGGAGGCAGCAGUGGGGAAUAUUGGACAAUGGGCGCAAGCCUGAUCCAGCCAUGCCGCGUGAGUGAUGAAGGCCUUAGGGUUGUAAAGCUCUUUCACCGAUGAAGAUAAUGACGGUAGUCGGAGAAGAAGCCCCGGCUAACUUCG
rnacentral:rRNA from 1 species